rnacentral:lncRNA from 1 species
GGAAGAGUGAUGUGGCUGGGGCUUCGCCGGCCUCACUAUGAUUGUUGGGUAUAUUUUGGAAGUGUGCUAGAAUUGGUGAACGCAAGAGUCCUUAUGUUGCAGUAUGCUGUGUUGUGAUGGCCUUCAGCAUCCUCUUCAUACAGUAGCUUGGAAAAAUGUCAGAAUUCAGUUGCCAGCAGAUUUAAAUAUGAAAGAAAGGACUUAUCUGCAGAAAAUAAUGGAAAGGAUGGUUAACCCUUUUAUCUCUGAACAUUGAAUGAGAUAAAUUUCCAGCUACUGUUCUCUAUUUUUGUUAUUGGACCAAUGUUCUAUAUCAAUUAGGAUGUAAGCAUUUAAUACUCAGUGUUUAAAUAUGUAUGUAACGAUCAACCUCAGUACUGUCACUACAAUAUUACAUUCUUCAUAUGUCAUUCUCUUGUGUCAGAUACCAGUUUUUAGUGAGGUAUCUUUAAGGCACAUAGUAGAAAACAAAAUUAGUAAAUUACUCAAGUUCCUUUCACUGUGAUUUGGAAAUGAUAAAUCUUCAGAGAAUGAGACCUUUUUUUGGACUAGCUUUUUUUCUGGGGAGAAAAAAAGGUUCAAUUUGUGUUUGUAAGGAUUGCAUUCAUAUUUAAUAAUGCUUGCUUUUCCUCUGGCCACACCAUUUUGAGCAUUAACCAGAGUACCUCUACUCUUAGCAAACUGUAGUUUAUUACAAGUCUUUAAACUAUUUUUUAAAAGCCUAUGCAGUUCCUUAGGAGGAAAAUAAAUGAGGUGUGACUUAAAAGUAGUAUUGAGAAAAUGUUCCUAUUUAACAUAAAAGAAUUCAGAAUACCUGAUUGUGUUAUAGCCUCUGAUACCACUCUUGUUAAGUAUGGAUAAAUGUCUUAAGCAUAAAUAUGAGAAGCUAACUCAUCCUCUAAAUAAGACUAAGACCACAUACUUAGAGUUCAAAAGAGCUAAACAGAACAAUUAUACAAUGAUAAUCCUCUGUGUGUUUUUCAUUCUUUCUUAAAAGGUGUCAAACCUCCACAUUUUAAUUACCCCAGUAUGCAAAGUGUGUUUUUGUUAUUUAAUACAGCACUUUAAAUCCAGUUUAUGUUUUGUCUGUCAGCUUGACGUGGAAUCUUGUGUAACUUAUUAAGCGGUGAUAAAGAGUUUUCAAAUCUACUUAUCCAUAUACUAUGGCAUAAAUGUCUUUGAGCUUUGAUGAUAAAACCUUCAGUAAUUUUCAUCGAGGCAAGAGAAACACUGGAAAUGUGACAAAUUUUUCAGUAGAGCAGUUAUUAUACAUUUAUGGUUAACAUUUCUUAAGUUUCAACCAAAAUUCAGUUAAAAUUUCAAAGCUAAGAAAACUUAGCUAAAAAUUGCCCACUAUAGCUAGUAUUAAUUAGAUGUUGUUCUCAGCUAUUAAUUCCCCAUAAAGGUAAAAAGAAUAACUGCCCCCACCCUUUUUUAAGAAAAAAAAAUUGUUUAGAACUAUUUAAAAAUGAGCCUACUGGUAGUUCUGUCUGUAAAAACAAAGUACUUAAAAAGAAUUCUAAGAAAUGCCUAAGAGGGAGUUCCCGUCUUGGCGCAGUGGUUAACGAAUCCGACUAGGAACCAUGGGGUUGCGGGUUCGAUCCCUGCCCUUGCUCAGUGGGUUAAGAUCCGGCGUUGCUGUGAGCUGUGGUGUAGGUUGCAGACACGGCUCCCAUCCUGCGUUGCUGUGGCUCUGGUGUAGGCUGGCAGCGCCGAUUGGACCCCUAGCCUGGGAACCUCCAUAUGCCGCGGGUGCAGCCCAAGAAAUGGCAAAAAGACAAAAAAAAAAAAAA